UCAUUUUGUUGGGAAAGGAUCUGGGGAGUAAAGUGAGAUGUGCAAGUUCCCUUGGUAGUGAUUAGAAAGGGCACAGAUAAUCCUUUCUUUGGUUCUCUUUGGGGCACUGGACUAUUCUGGUCUUUCUGUUGCAUUUAUGCACAAAAUAUGUCUUACUUUCAUUUGGUGAAAAACUUUACAAUUUGUAUUUAUAAACUGAGCCCAAUAGUUGUUGGUUUGCAUUUUGGAAAAGAUUAUUAGCUGGAACAGAUGAUUCUGCUUUUGAAGAUUACAGUGACCAUGUUCUGUCCUAAAUCAAGAGGCUGCUCUUUAAUAAGUGAUGUCAGCAGUGAGGGAGGAGUGGGGGUGAGGGCUUUGGAGAGACACCUGGGAUAGUUAGCCACUUGGCAAAUUAGUUAGAUGUCCUGAGCCUCUAGUUUGUGCAUUUGUUAAGGCAGAACCCUGUGAGGAUAACCUGAUAACCCUUGGAAAUCACUGUUGAUAUCUUCCACCUUUCUCUCCCACAUAGCUGUGUUGGUUAGUUGAAAGAAUUCACCAAAACGGUUUGGGUGAAGGUGGUAUCUAGAUGCGCCCCCAACAGCUUUUUAAUACAAAUGUGUGUUUCUUAAAGCCAGAAUAAGGCAUAAUAAGGUUUAUGAAAAAUAGAGGUAUUUUACCUAUCUUGUCAAACUUUGUGUCCUGAAGCAAGUCACUCUUUUUCUUGGACCUCUUGUUUCCUGAUCCAUGAAGUGGGCUGAAUGUCCUCCUGCAUUCUGUCUGAGCUCCAUGGUUCUGCAAUUCUUAAUGUCAGAGAACGCAAAUGUGUUAGAAACCACCCGGAACAGUGUUCACAUCCUUGAGCACUCCUAGUCAAAGACUUUUAAGAUUGGCAGCUUUCUACAGUUCACUGCCCCGGUGUCAUUUGGGCAAUGGUAAGGAAUGAAGGAAUUGGAAGUUUCAUCUAAUCUAAUAUAGCCAGGGAUUACUGAGUACAGAGACAGAGGUGGUUUUGAUUUUAUACCAUCCCUAGGGCCCCAAACUGUGCCUGCCUUGUAAUAGGCAUUCACUGUGACAGACUGAAUGAAUGAGUGAAUAUCCAUCUGAAUAUCUGUGGAUGCUACAAGAAAGAUGGGUUCUCACAUCCACCCCAUUGCAGAGCCUUUCAGGGCAGCUUUGUCGGCUAGAGCACCAGUUAAAUCUGCAGCUACCAGCGAUGAAAAGUCAUUUUGAUUGCAGGCCACAAGUGGCCAACUUUGCUACAGAUCCCCUGCUUAGCUGAGUGGUGGUGGUGUCCACCUUGGGCUUCACCACCUAUUUUGUAAGGUAGCAUCCCAUCAAGCUUUCAGAUUGUUGGACUGAUUCCCUUUCCUGAGUUUUACUAAAUUCGAAAUUGACACUGGGAUCCCAAUAACUUGUCCAAAGUCACAGGCAUUCUUGAUUAAACAGAAUAUUUUUUGUAUAAAGCCUACAGCAAUAAUCAAUGAAAUACAGGUGUUAAAUCUGUAAAGAGCUGAUCAAAUCUGCCUAAAGGAAAAAAAAAUCAGAGAAACCCUUAAUAUCAGUCUCAGAUUCUCAUCUACAAAAUGAGUAAAUGGGGCUAGGUAAUUUCUGAGGAUUUCCUCCAGCUCCAGGGGGGUAAUCAUUUAUGAAAUACUGCCUGAUACAAACAACAGGAGAAGACAGUGGUAGCCCAGCUGUACAGUUGUCCAUCUUUGAAGUAUGGUUACUUUAUGGAAGCAAGCAAAUGCCUGCAUUUGUGUACAAAAGAAAUCUAAAACAUCACCCCAGCCGGGACAUUAACCAAUAAGAAUGUAGAGAGGCUAUUUUGAAAACUUUUAUUGAAACAAAACAAAUAUUAUAGUGGUAACAUGAGCAUACAGAUUUUUCUGACCAGUGAAAUAUUAUUGAGAGAAUAAGUUUUUCCAAGAUGAGAGAUGUAUGGAUUUCAUUUCUUCCCAAAUGGUUCCUAGAGGCAACUGAACCUGUCAUUUUAAUACGUAAACACUUAGAACUCAGUAAGUGAUCAUACCUGAAAUGUAGUUUAAACGCUGUGUGUGUGUAUGUGUAUAUACAAAUAUACACAUGUAUACAUGGUUAAAAUAGAUAUAAACUUUCUAAUAGCAUUAACAAGAGAGUUCGGUGGAAGAAGCAAAAUGCUAGAACUUAUUUACUAUCCCUAUAGUGGAAUUCAGACCCACUGAAAACAGUCUGUGGUUAUUUAAACCCUUUUCUCUUUUGCAGACUUCCUUAGUCUUAUUUCCAGAGACUGGUUCAAUGGAAGAAAAAAAAUCUUUGGUAUAAAACUAGGGGUUCUAUAACAUUCAAAAUUGCCAAGAAAGUCUUUUACAGCAAAAGUUGGGAAGCCUCACAAUCUUAGUUCAGUGUCUGAAUGCUCAGCUAAUCAGAACCUUCCUAAAUUUGUUUGCCUUCCCUAAUACCAUUUCUAUACAAGGAUUCAUUCAUUCACUGGAUAAAUAUUUAUUGUGUACCUACUCUGUGCCAGGUAUUGGGGCUCCUGUAGUGAAUAGAAUUGGCAUAGUCCCUCCCCUUGUGGAACUUCUGCUACAGUAAUGGAGGCAAAUAUUGAGCAAAAAGACACAAAUACAGGGUUGCCUGGCUGGUUCAGUCAGAAGAGCAUGUGACUCUUGAUCUCGGGGUGGUGGGUUUGAGCCCCACACUGAGUGUAGAGAUUACCGGGGGGGGGGGGGAACCUUUAAAAAAAGAGACACAAAUAUGUAGUUAGAAAUCACAGCAAAUGUUUUGAAUGAAAAAUAAAGGCUGUAAUACAUAAUAGGGAUAUUUCAUUUUGAUUGUGUCAGGGAAAGGAUUUUAAAACUGAAACCUGAAGGAUACCUAGAAAUUAUUUAGGCAGAGAAUCAGAGGGGAAAAUAUGCCAGGUAAAGGAAAUGGAAGCUGGGAAGACUUUGGGAUGUUAGGACUCUAGAAGGCCAAGUGGCUAGCCCACAGUAAGCAAGGGUUCUGGAAGAGGGCCUUGAAGUAAAUCUGGGGAGGUAGGAAGAGGCCAGAUGAUGCAGGGACUAAGAAGUUUUCAAAAGGACCUAUACUUUAAAAGCCAUGAGAAGCUGUUGAGAGGUUUUAGGUAGGGGAGGGAAAGGAUUUCAUUUACAUUUUUAAAAUAUUACUCGCAGCUUGAAGAUAGAGCAAACCAGUCUGCACAGACAGUAAACAUUCUCAACGUUGGGGUUUAUAAAUCUCAGAUUUAUUUUGUCUUAUAUUUUAUUAGUUUGUCUUAUGAUUGGCAUGAAAUAUAGAAAACACUGAAUGAUUUUCAAAAACAAAACAAAUCACUCUGGUUGCUGUAUGUGGAGUGCAUUAUAGGAGAUCAAGGACAGUGGAAAGGCCUGCUAGGUUACUGCAGUUGGCCAGAUGGCUUGAACUGGAGAGAUGUCACUGGAUUUGAAGAUGGUUGGAUACAAUAUAUAUUUGUGUGUGUGUGUAUAUAUGUGUGUGUGUAUAUGUAUAUACACACAUGUAUGUAUGUGUGUGUAUAUAUAUAUACACAUGUAUGUAUACAUACGUGUGUGUGUGUCUUGGAUGUAGAAUCAACAAGACCUGAUAAUGGCUUUUAUGUUGAGAAGGAGGGAGAAGGAAAGGGGUGUUUAUCAGGGUUGGCUUCUCAAUUCUAGUUUGUACAACUGAGCAGAUGGGGGCAGUAAUAAAUUGUUGAUGUAGAUAAAAACAGUUUUUAGGGGAGAGGAAAGGGAGAGGUUUUGAGGUACCGUGAUUUCAUUCAUAUGCCAGUAUUAAAGUACUUGGAUGGGCAUACACACACACAUUUUAGCCAUAAGCAUCAUGGUUAAUAUUUAAAGAUGUGGGAAUGGAUGGAAUUGCCAAGAAGAGAGCCCAGAACUGACAUCCUUCCCUGAUCCCCACACGCAUAGACUAACAUCUCUCUAGAAGAGAAGGAGGAAGAGAAUAAAGGAAAUUUAAAAAAAAAAAAAAAGGAUCAGGCAGGAUAAAAACUAGGAGAAUGUGGUAUUACCAAAGAUAAAACUGUUGUAAGAAGUUCUUUGGGAAAUUUUCUGUUUUAUGUCCCAGUUGCGUCUUACACUCUUGCAGUAAUUUUUGCUAGUGUUCUGCUCUGGGAAAUAUCUGCCAGCUCUGGUUGGUUAAUAACAUGGCACAGCCCCAUUGAAAUACUGAGGAGUAGGAAUUUUAAUGCAUCUAAAAGCACUGAUUUUGCAGAACAGCUUUAUUUGGGAGUUGAGAGAAGGGAGCAACUAUUUUUAAAUUUACUUUAACAUUCUGUUAAUUUAUGUUCAAAAUAAAUACUUAGUAUUUAUUUAGAGGUACUCUCAUAGAUUUUUAAAACUCUGGAAAAAGAUGAAACACCCAUUCCCUCUCAAAUUAAUCCAUAGAGUGGAGGUUGAGAAAUGGAGGAAGGAAUCCCUGAUGUUUCUAUAGGAAAUGUUCAUUGACAAAGUAAAUGGAAUUCCUUAAAAAAGAAUUAACUCUAUUAUAUGAAAGAGGUUACUAAGCUAUUUAAAUAUAGUUUACUUUUCUAUGUCAUUUAUAUGGCUUGUCCAAUAGAGCUUCUUGCCAAGAUGGAGAUACUCUCUAUCUGUGUGGCCCAGUACAGUAGGCACUUAGCCACACAUGGCUGUUGACCACAUGAAAUGUGGCUAGUGUGGCUGAGGAACUGAAUUUUUAGUUAAA